rnacentral:lncRNA from 1 species
UUGUCGUUGGAUCAUGUCUGUCACAUACGUUUUUCAUAAACUGAAUUGUUAUAAAUUAUGCCGUUAGUUUUCAUGUUAGUUUUACAUUUUUUCAUGUCGGGGCCUUCUUUAGCUGACUUUACGCUAAAGGCUCUUCUCAUUAUUUGGCUGAUUCCUGCUCCUAAGGGGUUUUCAAUAACUCCAUAGUAUCUAUUCAUUUUUGCACAUAAACUAAAGUUUAUAAUAGCUAAUAAUGCAUAAAAAUCAUUAAAAUACAGAAUGCUAUUUUA